AUGGAGAACCACCAGCUGCCCUACACCACCCAGCCCCCGGCAACCGGUGCGUCCGGAGCCCCGCUGCCGGGCGUGCCUGGGCCGCCGCCGGUGCCACACCACCACCUGCUCCAGCAGCAGCAGGCCCAGCUGCAGGCGUUCUGGGCGUACCAGCGGCAGGAGGCGGAGCGCGCAUCGGCGUCCGACUUUAAGAACCACCAGCUGCCGCUGGCGCGUAUCAAGAAGAUCAUGAAGGCCGACGAGGACGUGCGCAUGAUCUCCGCGGAGGCGCCCGUGCUCUUCGCCAAGGCCUGCGAGCUCUUCAUCCUCGAGCUCACCAUCCGCUCCUGGCUGCACGCCGAGGAGAACAAGCGCCGCACACUGCAGCGCAACGACGUCGCCGCUGCCAUCGCGCGCACCGACGUCUUCGACUUCCUCGUCGACAUUGUGCCGCGCGAGGAGGCCAAGGAGGAGCCCGGCAGCGCAGCCCUCGGGUUUGCCGCCGGAGGGGUUGGUGCGGCCGGUGGGGGCCCCGCCGCUGGGCUGCCGUACUACUAUCCGCCGAUGGGGCAGCCGGCGGCACCGAUGAUGCCGGCCUGGCAUGUUCCGGCGUGGGAACCUGCGUGGCAGCAAGGCGGGGCGGGCGUGGACCAGGGUGCCGGGAGCUUCGGCGAGGAAGGGCAAGGGUUCACGGGGGGGCAUGGUGGCUCAGCUGGCUUCCCUCCCGGGCCUCCAAGCUCCGAGUGA
rnacentral:rRNA from 1 species